rnacentral:lncRNA from 1 species
UGAUCAUCCAAAGUUGUUUAUUGAACACAUUUUUGUGCUAAGGCUGCCUGCUGUCCCCACUCUGCAUGCAGCCUUCACUCCUAAUUAAAGCCAGUGGGCUAGGAUGGAAAAAAACAAUUUCAAGGCGAGGAGGUGGGGUAGGGAGCCAACAAUCACUUCCUUUUCUCUCAUUUUAGGGAGACUCUGAGCUUUUAUCAGGUGAAGCUGGCCUGAAGGACAUGUCCAGGAAAUGAAAAUCCAGGCUUCCAGGGUGUGGGCAGGAAGAUUUUCCUGAAUCCUUAUCAAGGAUGACUUCUGUGAAGUUUUCCUAAGAGGAGGACUCUCUUUGAAGUGGUGAACAGAAUCCGAGCUUAAAGUGAUUCUUCUUUGAAGAGACACGAGCCUGGGAGGUAGAGUGACCUGCCCUGGGUCCCGUGGCUGCACCAAGAAGAGUCUGAAUGGAGAGCAUCUUUUCUGUUUCUCUGUUUGUGCUUCGGGUCCUACAUCCAGGGUAUCAACCACAGCUGCUCAAGGUUCUGCUUCUCCAAUUGCCACCAUUUACAUCAGGAGGAAAUGGAUCCUACAAAGAGAGGCGUAGACUCCAGCAUUUAUGGGGCAUUUACUGUGUGCCAAGCCCUGGCAUUGUUUUUAUGAGGAUGUCACCGAUUCUUAUGACAAACAUAUGGGGUAGGGGGUAUUUUUAUUCCUAUUUCAAAGAGGAUGAGACAGAAGCACAGCAAUGUAGUCGCAUGGCCAUUAUCACAAGGCUGGAAUGUGGUAGGGCUGGGGUUUGGACCUGUGAAGAUAAACUCUGGGGUCAGCCUCAUCUUUUUUACUUUAAUUUAUUUUUGGUCAUACAACACAGCAUGUGGGAUCUUAUAGUUCUCAGACCAGGGGUUGAACCUGUGCCCUCUGCAUCAGAACUGUGGAGUCUUAACCACUGGACCACCAGGGAAGGCCCAGCCUCAUUUUCAUAGCCUCUUUAAUGCAGUAUUCUUGCUUCUUUUCUGAUGCUGGCCCUGUCAUGAUGGGGAGAAGCACAUAUUCUUUGACAAUGAAAGCAGAAUUUACAUUUAUAUUAACUCUAAUUUCCUUCUCUGUAACUCAGCACAGAGAAUCUUUCUUCCAGGGUCUGUUUUCUUUCAGGAUGAAGCUGCUCAUCCUUCAUAAGCGUACAGAAGAAGUAACUAAUAUAAUAAUAUUACUAAUGAUUACCUCCUGGUUUUACAAGACCCUUUUCCAUAUAACUUAUCUCAAGAGACUUGGAUGCUCUAAAACAGAGAAAGAAUAAGAUUAGUUUCUAGGGAAGGAAAUUCUGUAACUGAACCCAGAUUAUAAUUUAAAAAUAAUAAAUCCAAAUGGAAUUAUCUCUGAAGCUAUCUU